UGGAAGAUUGAAGGGGGCUGCUCCUAGUACGAGAGGACCGGAGUGGACGAACCUCUGGUGUUCGGGUUGUGUCGCCAGACGCAUUGCCCGGUAGCUAAGUUCGGAAUUGAUAAGCGCUGAAAGCAUCUAAGCGCGAAGCGAGCCCUGAGAUGAGUCUUCCCUGACAGUUUAACUGUCCUAAAGGGUUGUUCGAGACUAGAACGUUGAUAGGCAGGGUGUGUAAGCGUUGUGAGGCGUUGAGCUAACCUGUACUAAUUGCCCGUGAGGCUUAACCAUACAACACCCAAGGGGUUUUGUA
rnacentral:rRNA from 1 species